CUCCUUAUUGAAUGAAAAUAUUGGUUGAUCGAUUUGGAUCUCUAAUUCGGUUAGAAAUUGUGUAGAGAAGUGAAGGAUCUGAUUGCUAAUUUCUAUCCUGUCUGAUGCUUGCAUAACCUUCUCUUUAAAUGAUAGACUAUAGUUAGUUAGAGAAUGUUGGUAUUGUGGGUAGGGUAUGUCGCAAUCAGACACAUCUAUGAACAUAGGUCC
rnacentral:lncRNA from 1 species